UACGUAGGGUGCGAGCGUUUGUCCGGAAUUAUUGGGCGUAAAGGGCUCGUAGGCGGUUUGUCGCGUCUGCCGUGAAAGUCCGGGGCUCAACUCCGGAUCUGCGGUGGGUACGGGCAGACUAGAGUGAUGUAGGGGAGACUGGAAUUCCUGGUGUAGCGGUGAAAUGCGCAGAUAUCAGGAGGAACACCGAUGGCGAAGGCAGGUCUCUGGGCAUUAACUGACGCUGAGGAGCGAAAGCAUGGGGAGCGAACAGG
rnacentral:rRNA from 1 species